GACGAACGCUGGCGGCGUGCUUAACACAUGCAAGUCGAACGGAAAGGCCCUGCUUGCAGGGUACUCGAGUGGCGAACGGGUGAGUAACACGCGGGUGUUCCGUCCUCCACUUCGGGAUAAGCCUGGGGAACUGGGUCUAAUACCCGAUAGGAGACAUUCUUAGUGUGAUGGGUGGAAAGUAUUUUCGGUGUAGGAUGAGUGCACGGCCUAUCAGCCUGGUGGUUGGGGGAUGGGCUACCUAGGCGGCGAUGGGUAGCCGGCCUGAGAGGGUGGACGGCCACCAUGGGGAUGGGGAUCGGCCCAGGCCCCUAACGGGGGGAACAGGGGGGAAUUAUGCACAAAGGGGGCGAGGCUGGUGGAGGGACGGCGGGGGGGGGGAGACCGGCUUCGGGUUGUAAACUCGUUUCGGUAGGGGCGAAGCUUUUUGUGACGGUACCUAGAUAAGAAGCACCGGCUAACUACGUG
rnacentral:rRNA from 1 species